AUGAUUAUCAACAAAAGCCAUGGACAAUCCAUAAACAAGGUAGGAUUAUAUCUACCAGAACAAGUUUUCGCACAUGGACAAUUAUACGUAGCCUUCUCAAGAGUCAAAAAAAGGGAUGGACUAUGGGUAAUGGUAAAUGAUGAAGAUAGCAAUGAGGACGAUGUGGUCACAAACAUAGCCUAUAAAGAAAUAUUCUAA
rnacentral:rRNA from 1 species